rnacentral:miRNA from 1 species
GUGAGAGCAUGUGCAUGUGUGUGUGCAUGCAUGUAUACACACACACACACACACACACACACACACACACCACAGCAGAUA